rnacentral:lncRNA from 1 species
UUUGAUAUAUCUGGAUAAACAUUUUCUAUGUUGAUUAUAAUUAGGAGUUAUAGUCUACAGCAUGUGUAGUCAUAACUAUCGCAUUCGCACUCUAUGAGUUACUUGCUUUGUCUAUGACUUGUAUAGAUAAAGCUAGUUGUAGAAACUUUACACAUAAUCAAUUUACUUUUACUUAUAAAAAAAAAAAGAAGGUCAAACUUGUGGCACUUAAACUCAGGCGGAAUGCAUCUUUUUGGUGGGAAAAUCUGAAGAAAUAAAGAGAACGUGAGGGGAAGAGUAAGAUCGUUACAUGGGAGAAAAUGAAAAGGGAGCUGAAGAGAAAAUAUUUACC